rnacentral:rRNA from 1 species
UACGUAGGGUGCAAGCGUUGUCCGGAAUUAUUGGGCGUAAAGAGCUCGUAGGCGGUCUGUCGCGUCGGCUGUGAAAUCCCGGGGCUCAACUCCGGAUCUGCGGUGGGUACGGGCAGACUAGAGUGAUGUAGGGGAGACUGGAAUUCCUGGUGUAGCGGUGAAAUGCGCAGAUAUCAGGAGGAACACCGAUGGCGAAGGCAGGUCUCUGGGCAUUAACUGACGCUGAGGAGCGAAAGCAUGGGGAGCGAACAGG